rnacentral:lncRNA from 1 species
ACUAGAUGGUGGAGAAAGCCUGUGUGAAUUAUUUUUAAUGAAUAAGUGUGAUGAUGGGUGGCAUACAGUCACUGCCUUAAGAUUUUCAAAGAGAAGCAGCCUUUUGGAGGUGGUGGGCCUGGGCAGGUCUUUCAAGGAGUGGGAUGUGAUGGGCAGUAGAAAGGUAUUCCAGGGAGGGGUAGCAACAUGAGAAGGUCUUUCAAGGAUUGGGAUGUGAUGGGCAGUAGAAAGGUAUUCCAGGGAGGGGUAGCAGCAUGAGAAGGUCUUUGAGUCUGGGAUGAGCAAGAGUGUCUAGUCCCACCAGGGAGACAGAUGUGUAGGCAAGUAAUGACAGCAUGGAGGGAUGGCUGCUGGGGUGAUCCUUGGCUCCCAGCACGGCGAGGUGGACAUCUAUGGGAGGGGCCCUGAGAGGUCUCUUGAGCUGUCUUUCUGCCAGUUGCACAUCUGCUCAGUUGCCUGUUAAGACUCUUAAGACAGUUUUGCUGGACUCUUAAGUUUUUAUUUUGAUAUUCUUUGGGAGCAUUGAGAUUCCUUUUUGAGAUGAGUUUGGUAUGAAAGAAACUGGCAACUCAUACCUGAUUGAUUAACUGGGGGCAUUCCCAUUGACAUCAGCUUGAAGAAAGACGACAGAACACUGGAGACCAAGUACUUACAGCCUUCUGCUCUGUGGCCCCUCCUCACUCCAGGGAUGCUGCCUUGGGUCUGGAAACUGUUAGAGGAAACCCCAAGAGGUGCAGGCACUGAGCCUCUCAGGACAAUGACCUGGGGUCCCAGCUCCCCUGGAGGGGCCUCCUCAUGAUUGUUUGGGGGUUGAUCACAGACCAAGAGUGACGAGUGAUGUCACCCUGUGACUCAUGGCUGGACCUUCUUGCCCCUAUUGUCUCAGCACAACAUUAUUCGACUUUUCCCUCAGCGUGGGUGGGCAGAGGAAAAGCCCUGUGGCUCUGGGGACUUGGGAUCCAGAGUUGAAGACCCUUCAGCUGGCUCUGCCCUGCCAGUGCCACAGAGUGCCAUGGCCCAGGAAGACAGGUUUUCUUCCAUCUAGGCCAGGCCAUCCAGUGGCCAUCCUCCGUGUCCUCCCGCCUCCUCCUGGUGUGACUUCUGAAAACCAAGAAUUUGUUCCUGUUGACUUUUUCUGUGCUAUGGACCAUUGUCCUCUCACCCACUCAAUAAAUCUUGAAACAUG